rnacentral:misc_RNA from 1 species
GAUGAAGAACGCAGCGAAAUGCGAUACGUAAUGUGAAUUGCAGAAUUCAGUGAAUCAUCGAGUAUUUGAACGCACAUUGCGCCCCCUGGUAUUCCGGGGGGCAUGCCUGUCCGAGCGUCAUUGCUGCCCUCAAGCGCGGCUUGUGUGUUGGGCCUCCGUCCUCCUCCCGGGGGACGGGCCCGAAAGGCAGCGGCGGCACCGCGUCCGGUCCUCGAGCGUAUGGGGCUUCGUCACCCGCUCUUGUAGGCCCGGCCGGCGCUUGCCGACACAUCAAUCUUUUUUCCAGGUUGACCUCGGAUCAGGUAGGGAUACCCGCUGAACUUAAGCAUAUCAAUAAGCGGAGGA